GCUCAGCAGGUGCCUGGGAGGUUAGGGGUGCAGCUCAGCAAAGCCCUUCCGCCUUCCCAGUGCACAUGGGCAUGGGCUGUGGUGUCGUAAGUCACCACAACAGUGUCUGAAGCUGAUGUCCCGCUGCCUGAGAUAGGUGCGGCUGGCUCAGCAUAGCCUUUCGCCUUCCCAAUAUGCCUGGGCAUGGGCCGUGGUAUAAGUCACCAGGACAGUGUCUGUGGCUGAUGUCCCGCUGCCUGAGAUAGGUGCAGCUCAGCACAGCCUUUCACCUUCCCAGUAUGCCUGGGCGUGGGCUGUGGUGUCGUAAGUCACCAGGACAGUGUCUGAGGCUGAUGUCCCGCUGCCUGGGAUAUACAUGUGGGGCUUGAAGUGUGCAUCUGGAGAUACAGGUUUACCGGGGAUCCUGGGAGGCCCCAGACCACCUGAGAACCCUGCAAAGAAAAGCAUUCCAGUCACUUUUCCCACGGAGUCUGUGAGCUCCUCGAGGGUCCCCGAGUGGACCCGGUGGGGGUGGGGGCAGAAGGAGACCUGUGCUCUCGCCACUUCAGUUUAGAUCUCUUGGGAGCAGAUCUGUGGUUCGUUAGAUUCCCAACAGGGUCUGUGACUCCAGAGUCUCAAGAACCACUGCCCCAAAGCCUGAGUUCAUUGUAAUGUGAGUUUUUCUUGCCUUUGCUUCCUUGAAGCUUCCAACAUCUCUGUGUUGUUUCCACUUCCCCCUCUGUGUUGGUUUGAGUUGUGGGGCGAGGACAGCAUUUGUUUUGCCAGCACAACUGUGAACUGGAAUCCAAAGAAAUAAAAGGGGGAAGUAAGCAUCAGACUGUGGGUUACGCCCCAGCCCACAAGCCAA